UGCACAGUCACACGGGUCACAUCCGGCCCUAACAGUGGCUACAUAAGCUGCAGCCUCGGUGGAGGGAACGAGCUUCUACAUGAUGAGGGAGUGCGGGGUUCUCAGACCCCACCCUGGACCCACUGACUCAACCUGCAUCUGAGGAAGAGCCCCGGUGAUAUCCAUGUUCAUUACUAUUUGAGACAAGCCAUGAUUUUUCUGCUUCUCUUGGUGACGGAUAGUCCUGUAAUGCCUGUAGGUCACCAAGCACCGUUUGAAUUUAUAAACUAGAACGCCCAGACCUCAACCUCAAUGCAAAGCCCCUGGAAUCCAGAUUCACCUUCCACUUUUUGGUGCCUUGGCCAAGCCUUCCUGGUGGCCUGACUCCGGGAGCCAAGACAGCCCCGCGCCAGCUUGUACCCAAGCCCCAGCUCUUCGGCCCGGUGCACAGCAAAGACGAUUGUGGACAUCCGACGGACAGCAAGGACAAGGGGUAUUCCAGAGAGAGGGCAAGCCUCAAGUCUGCCUCCCCUGGAGAGCCAGGGAUAUUUAAAGGCAAAUGAAAAGCCCGGCUGUGGCCCUUAGGAGUAGCUGGGAUCAGCCCCAUUAACCCUUUGGUGGCCGGUUUGCUCCAGGAUAUUUUGUGGCACAGGCUCAUCCCCGGACAGGCUUUUCUAUCCUGCAGCCACAGCUCACCUUAACCUUGUCAGGUGUGAGCCAGGCUCGGUUCCCGUGUCUCCCCACUGCCCGGAACACGGUUCAGACCUCCUCCCUGGGUGACUCCAGGGGCACCUUCCUCGUUAAGCUUGAGGGAGAUGUAGGGGCUUCCCAUGCCUCCUCACUACAAAGAAGAAUUGGGAUGGGGUCUCACCUCCCGGCAAAGGAGUCUCUGCCCAGACCCUCUCUCUUCUCGGUGCUCUGACCUCUUUGUGUCUCCUCCAUGCAACUUCAGAGUCCAAAAGUCAGGGAACAGAUCCUCAACCAUGUCCUCUGUAAAUUCUGCAUGUGACGAUCUGGCUUCAGAAUGUCACGUCUAUUGUGUCACGGAAGAUCACUUUUGCCACCCUGUCAUGAGGAUGAUUGCUUAAUUGUAAAAAAUAAAAAUAAAAUCCUGCCUUCCUGCCUUGUCUUCCCCGGA